AAAAUCUCAAUCUCUAAGGUUUCUUAUUGAUUGGACUUGGGUGUUUGCCGUCCGGCUCGCCUCAAAAGUGUUAGCGAUACGGGACGGAUCUCUGGCGUAAUAAGUUUCGCUGGUGGGGAUGUCGGUCGGUUGCUCAUAAUCGUCGUGAGACUCUCUUUGACCCUGGCCUCAAAUCAGGUAAGACUACCCGCUGAACUUAA
rnacentral:misc_RNA from 1 species